rnacentral:rRNA from 1 species
GAUUAGAUACCCUGGUAGUCCACGCCGUAAACGAUGAGUGCUAAGUGUUAGAGGGUUUCCGCCCUUUAGUGCUGCAGCUAACGCAUUAAGCACUCCGCCUGGGGAGUACGGUCGCAAGACUGAAACUCAAAGGAAUUGACGGGGGCCCGCACAAGCGGUGGAGCAUGUGGUUUAAUUCGAAGCAACGCGAAGAACCUUACCAGGUCUUGACAUCCUCUGACAACCCUAGAGAUAGGGCUUUCCCCUUCGGGGGACAGAGUGACAGGUGGUGCAUGGUUGUCGUCAGCUCGUGUCGUGAGAUGUUGGGUUAAGUCCCGCAACGAGCGCAACCCUUGAUCUUAGUUGCCAGCAUUCAGUUGGGCACUCUAAGAUGACUGCCGGUGACAAACCGGAGGAAGGUGGGGAUGACGUCAAAUCAUCAUGCCCCUUAUGACCUGGGCUACACACGUGCUACAAUGGACGGUACAAAGGGCAGCUAGACCGCGAGGUUUAGCCAAUCCCAUAAAACCGUUCUCAGUUCGGAUUGCAGGCUGCAACUCGCCUGCAUGAAGCUGGAAUCGCUAGUAAUCGCGGAU